GAAAAAUGAGUCCAAGGUACUGUGAUGUGAUUGUUUACUUUGUGUGGCCUUUCUAGCCAUGGUCUUAUAACAUCCACCCUGGUGCUUGGGCAGGACUGUGUGAUAGGGUAAUUGUGGCUCACCAAGAGGAUUGUUUAUUUUGCCUUCAAAGAGAACCAGUUCCAGAGCAAAGAGGAGGAUUCAACUCCCAUCAAGGAAGAACAGCCAAGAGCCGAGCGUAUAUUAUGGACCUGAGAUCCCUGCACUGAGAAGCUCCUAGAAGCAGGAGACUGAGAUAGAGAGAGGAAGCUGUAACCCUGAAGAUGCUUAAAUACAGACCAGAAGAGGAGUUUGGGGCUUGACACCUGACAUCUUAACACCAGUUCCUGUUUCUUGAGGAAGGAAGAGGUAAAAUAAAUCAGCGUUUGCUGUUUCCUUCUCCAUCCCCGGAAGUCCUGAUGAAGACCCUCUCAGGUAAGGAUUGACAGGGAGUGGCUUGGUUUACUAUUCAACUUUGUCCUUCAGUAACUUUGUUUAUGUCCUGCAUGUAAACUGUUGUGCAUUGAGAAGCAUUCUAAUUCUUGUGCAGAAGGACUAGACCUCCUGCAGAAUGACUAUAUUGUGCCUCCCUCGGGCACCCCUGUCUGCGCAGCACCCCCCAACGCCAACUGCCCAACCGCCUCUCUCCUGGCAUUCUGCUUCUAGAAGCAUGUUCUUUUGAUGCAGAGAUGCAGCACACACAGAAUCCCAGCUGGAUUACAGACUUGAACCUGAAGACCUUAUGCAGAAUGACAAUUUAUGAACCACUAAGCUCAGUACUAAAGCAGCUUCAACUUGAACGUGAAUAUGAGCAACUGAUCAUCUGUUCUGCAGUCAGCCCCUGCCCUGAUUCUGACUCAUGAUAUUGACCAAGUGAAGAGUGAUUCAGAGAAAAACAUGGAUAGAGUGUGACCUAAUUUCCAUAAAAACAAACAAAUGAAUGUACUUACAUGUGUCCCGGCAAAAAGAAGUGUGUAAAAGGGUACAUAUGUAUCUUUGGACACUGGACACUUCAGGGGAGCAGGUAUAAUAUACUUAUGUGGGGAUGGCUCUUAUUAUAACUUCUAUAUACAAAUCUCUAUUGUUAAAUGUGUUAUAAGAAUGUAAAAGCUUUUAAAGUUUAAUAACAUCAUACGUGUAUGUGUGUGUAUUUGAAACUUUUUUUCUUUUGACUAUUUUAUAUAUGUGUUUUUUAGUUAUCUAGUUUUUUUUUUAGUGUGGCUAUAGCAGAGAUACCAAAAGUGGAUGGCUUUAACAAACAGAAACUUAUUCUCUCACAGUUUAAGAAGCAACAAGUUUGAAGUCAGGGCACCAGGUCUAGGAGAAAGCUCUCUCUCUUUGUGGCUCUGGGGGAAGGUCCUUGUCAUCUAUCUUCCCCUGGCCUAGGAAAUUCUCAGCGCGUGGACACUGGGUCAAAAAGACGUGCUCCACUCCAGGCACUUCUUCCUUGGUGGUAUGAGGUCCCUCUCAUUUCCGCUCACUCUUCUCUUUGUAUCUCAAAAGAGACUGACUCAAGACUCACCCUAAUCCUGUAGAUUGUGUCCUCCCUCAUUAACCUAACUGCCUCUAAUCCCGCCUUAUUUACAUCACAGAGGUUAGAAUUUACAACACAUAAGUAAUCACAUCAGAUCACAAAAUGCAGGACAACCACACAAUACUGGGAAUCAUGGUCUGGCCAGGUUGGCACACAUUUUGGGGGACACUAUUCAAUCCAUAACAACAGAGAAAACACUGUCUUCAAUGCCAGAUUCAGAGACUUUUAUCAAUCUAUGAAGGGCAAACACAGAAAUUGAACAAAAUUCAGACCAGCGAAUUAUUGCUUGCUCUUGUAACUAAUGACUUCUUCUGGUCUCUGUACCUGGAAAUGGCCAAAAAGAAUUCUGUGAGGAUUAAUUCAGUUAUUGCUAAAACAUCUACUGCAUUUACAUGUCUACAGAUAAGGAAUAAUGCUGGACACCAUGUGUGAUUCAUUAAGUAACACAGGGACUAUUAGACUGUUGUUCUCCUUCUCUGAUAUGCCACUAUCACCUUCUCCCCUUGUUGCUCUCCUGAAAAACCCACACUUGUAUAUUCUAGGCUUUUUUCCAGGAUUGAAUUUGCAGGAAGUUGAAGAUACAUCUUUGAAAGAUAAAGAAGACUUUGGCCACAUUGUCUUUAGACAGUCGAACUUCCCAGCCAGCCUCUGUGCAGGAUGGGAAUUCACAAUCCCUCCUACUCAGUACCUCUGAGCAGGACGGGAUUUCUGUUUCAUUAUCAGGAGACUGUGGAA